rnacentral:rRNA from 1 species
GUGAAAUUGAACUCGCUGUGAAGAUGCAGUGUACCCGCGGCAAGACGGAAAGACCCCGUGAACCUUUACUAUAGCUUGACACUGAACAUUGAGCCUUGAUGUGUAGGAUAGGUGGGAGGCUUUGAAGUGUGGACGCCAGUCUGCAUGGAGCCGACCUUGAAAUACCACCCUUUAAUGUUUGAUGUUCUAACGUGGACCCGUAAUCCGGGUUGCGGACAGUGUCUGGUGGGUAGUUUGACUGGGGCGGUCUCCUCCUAAAGAGUAACGGAGGAGCACGAAGGUUGGCUAAUCCUGGUCGGACAUCAGGAGGUUAGUGCAAUGGCAUAAGCCAGCUUGACUGCGAGCGUGACGGCGCGAGCAGGUGCGAAAGCAGGUCAUAGUGAUCCGGUGGUUCUGAAUGGAAGGGCCAUCGCUCAACGGAUAAAAGGUACUCCGGGGAUAACAGGCUGAUACCGCCCAAGAGUUCAUAUCGACGGCGGUGUUUGGCACCUCGAUGUCGGCUCAUCACAUCCUGGGGCUGAAGUAGGUCCCAAGGGUAUGGCUGUUCGCCAUUUAAAGUGGUACGCGAGCUGGGUUUAGAACGUCGUGAGACAGUUCGGUCCCUAUCUGCCGUGGGCGCUGGAGAACUGAGGGGGGCUGCUCCUAGUACGAGAGGACCGGAGUGGACGCAUCACUGGUGUUCGGGUUGUCAUGCCAAUGGCACUGCCCGGUAGCUAAAUGCGGAAGAGAUAAGUGCUGAAAGCAUCUAAGCACGAAACUUGCCCCGAGAUGAGUUCUCCCUGAGACUUAGAGUCUCCUGAAGGAACGUUGAAGACGACGACGUUGAUAGGCCGGGUGUGUAAGCGCAGCGAUGCGUUGAGCUAACCGGUACUAAUGAACCGUGAGGCUUAACCUUACAACGCCGAAG